UACGUAGGGUGCGAGCGUUAAUCGGAAUUACUGGGCGUAAAGCGUGCGCAGGCGGUUUGCUAAGACCGAUGUGAAAUCCCCGGGCUUAACCUGGGAACUGCAUUGGUGACUGGCAGGCUAGAGUAUGGCAGAGGGGGGUAGAAUUCCACGUGUAGCAGUGAAAUGCGUAGAGAUGUGGAGGAAUACCGAUGGCAAAGGCAGCCCCCUGGGCCAAUACUGACGCUCAUGCACGAAAGCGUGGGGAGCAAACAGG
rnacentral:rRNA from 1 species